UUGAACGUUAUUUUGGAAAUGGCGUUAUCUCAGCACAUCUCCUUCAUUAUGAUAACAAUUUUUGUUGCUUUGAUGCUGCACAUGUCCUCUCUGCAUGUCACUGCUGAGGUGUUUCAUGGUUCAGUUGCCGAAGUCAGCCUCGGGCGAAGGGUUCUUCAAUACAAUACUACAGGGCGUGGAGGAUACAACUAACAUAAGU